rnacentral:tRNA from 1 species
GCCCAGAUGGUGUAGCGGUUUAGCAUAUAGCCCUGUCACGGCUAUGACCCGGGUUCAAAUCCCGGUCUGGGCG